GCCAUCGACGAGAGUGCGGAGCUCGGCGUGCUCCGCGUGCGCGCCAUCGCGGAGUGGGGAUCGCUCCCUCGCGCGAUCGUCUCGCGCGCGCUGGCGC
rnacentral:tRNA from 14 species